UAUGUUUACUAAAACAAAGAU
rnacentral:snRNA from 1 species